rnacentral:lncRNA from 1 species
CAAGUAUCAUUCUCUCCUUUGAAACACUAUACUGUUUUUUUCAGAAGGCCUGAUCCUGUAGUGGAUGGAGUCCACCGAGAAUCCUUCUAAUUUUGUGAGCUACUGGUCAGGCUAUGGUUGAAUUCAGUCUGUUUGCAGGAGCAUAGCCAGCACUCUGAGAUAUCCUGGAAGAAAGGACUGCUCUGCAGAAGCUCACUGAAAGACUUCCUGAUAGGAAAAAAUCACUGCUGGAGAGAUGGAAAGGAGCCCACACAGUGGAAGGCUAGUGUAGCAAACUGGCUCUGGCUGCUGCUGUCAGUGAUAUUCUGAAAGCUUGGAAGAAUGGAAGAUACUCUGUGUGGUUGGGCCAAGGGAUUAUUUGGGUUCAACUGAUGUGCAUGGACUAAGGACUCAACAGUACUCCAAAUUUGUAGGAAAUUGAUGAUCAUUCUCCUCCUGCAUGCUGUAAGUUGACUGUUACUCCAGCUUUCACACAACUGUGACUUAGCUCUCUCCAGACCAAUUUUUUUUUAAUCUGUGGCACUGUGUUCCUCAUGGAUUCAUGCAAUGAUUUACCAAGCACAAAACUAGCCACAAGUAACAGACUGAAAUCUAUGAAAGAUCAUUUCUUCAACUAAAACCCAUGAAACUUAAUUACUGAGUGCAAAGAGUCCUCCAGGGAGAGUGUUU